rnacentral:rRNA from 1 species
UACAGAGGUCUCAAGCGUUGUUCGGAUUCAUUGGGCGUAAAGGGUGCGUAGGCGGCGCGGUAAGUCGGGUGUGAAAUCUCGGGCUUAACUCCGAAACUGCAUUCGAUACUGCCGUGCUUGAGGACUGGAGAGGAGACUGGAAUUUACGGUGUAGCGGUGAAAUGCGUAGAUAUCGUAAGGAAGACCAGUGGCGAAGGCGGGUCUCUGGACAGUUCCUGACACUGAGGCACGAAGGCCAGGGGGAGCAAAACGGG